rnacentral:rRNA from 1 species
AUUGAACGCUGGCGGCAUGCCUAACACAUGCAAGUCGAACGGAAACGAUGGAAGCUUGCUUCCAGGCGUCGAGUGGCGGACGGGUGAGUAAUACAUAGGAAUCUGCCCAGUAGUGGGGGACAACCUGGGGAAACUCAGGCUAAUACCGCAUACGCCCUUCGGGGGAAAGCGGGGGAUCUUCGGACCUCGCGCUAUUGGAUGAGCCUAUGUCUGAUUAGCUUGUUGGUGGGGUAACGGCCUACCAAGGCGACGAUCCGUAGCUGGUUUGAGAGGAUGAUCAGCCACACUGGGACUGAGACACGGCCCAGACUCCUACGGGAGGCAGCAGUGGGGAAUAUUGGACAAUGGGCGCAAGCCUGAUCCAGCAAUGCCGCGUGUGUGAAGAAGGCCUGCGGGUUGUAAAGCACUUUUAUCGGGAAAGAAAAGCUGAAGGUUAAUACCCUUUGGCCUUGACGGUACCCGAGGAAUAAGCACCGGCUAACUCCGUG